rnacentral:rRNA from 1 species
GAUGAACGCUGGCGGCGUGCUUAACACAUGCAAGUCGAACGGAAAGGCUCCUACUUGCUGGGGUGCUCGAGUGGCGAACGGGUGAGUAACACGUGGGUGAUCUGCCCUGUACUUCGGGAUAAGCUUGGGAAACUGGGUCUAAUACCGGAUAGGACAACUUUUUGGAUAUUGUUGUGGAAAGCUUUUGCGGUGUGGGAUGAGCUCGCGCCCCAUCAGCGUGUUGGUGGGGUAAUGGCGUACCAAGGCGUCGACGGGUAGCCGGCGUGAGAGGGGGUACGGCGACACUGUGGGAGAGAUACGGCGCAGACACCUACGGGGGGCAGCAGAGGGGAAUAUUGCACAAUGUGGGCAAGCCUGAGGCGGCGACGCCGCGUGGGGGAUGAAGGCCUUCGGGUUGUGAACUCCUUUCGCUAGGGACGAAGCGUUUUUGUGACGGUACCUGGAGAAGAAGCACCGGCUAACUACGUG